GACGAACCGUGCAAACGUUAUUCGGAAUCACUGGGCAUAAAGGGCGCGUAGGCGGCUCCAAAAGUCAGGGGUGAAAUCCGGCAGCUUAACUGUCGCAGUGCCUUUGAUACUGUGGAGCUAGAGGGAGGUAGGGGUCUGUGGAACUUCCAGUGGAGCGGUGAAAUGCGUUGAUAUCGGAAGGAACGCCGGUGGCGAAAGCGACGGACUGGAUCUCAUCUGACGCUGAGGCGCGAAAGCCAGGGGAGCAAACGGG
rnacentral:rRNA from 1 species